rnacentral:rRNA from 1 species
GUCUAUGGCCAUACCACCCUGAACAUGCCCCAUCUCGUCUGAUCUCAGAAGCUAAGCAGGGUUGGGCCUGGUUAGUACUUGGAUGGGAGAAAAGCUAUACUAGCCUUGAUACUCUGGUCUCACUUCAGAUU